AUUUUGGGCGUAAGGGCUCGCAGGCGGUUUCUUAAGUCUGAUGUGAAAGCCCCCGGCUCAACCGGGGAGGGUCAUUGGAAACUGGGAAACUUGAGUGCAGAAGAGGAGAGUGGAAUUCCACGUGUAGCGGUGAAAUGCGUAGAGAUGUGGAGGAACACCAGUGGCGAAGGCGACUCUCUGGUCUGUAACUGACGCUGAGGAGCGAAAGCGUGGGGAGCGAACAGGAUUAGAUACCCUGGUAGUCCACGCCGUAAACGAUGAGUGCUAAGUGUUAGGGGGUUUCCGCCCCUUAGUGCUGCAGCUAACGCAUUAAGCACUCCGCCUGGGGAGUACGGUCGCAAGACUGAAACUCAAAGGAAUUGACGGGGGCCCGCACAAGCGGUGGAGCAUGUGGUUUAAUUCGAAGCAACGCGAAGAACCUUACCAGGUCUUGACAUCCUCUGACAACCCUAGAGAUAGGGCUUUCCCUUCGGGGACAGAGUGACAGGUGGUGCAUGGUUGUCGUCAGCUCGUGUCGUGAGAUGUUGGGUUAAGUCCCGCAACGAGCGCAACCCUUGAUCUUAGUUGCCAGCAUUCAGUUGGGCACUCUAAGGUGACUGCCGGUGACAAACCGGAGGAAGGUGGGGAUGACGUCAAAUCAUCAUGCCCCUUAUGACCUGGGCUACACACGUGCUACAAUGGACAGAACAAAGGGCUGCAAGACCGCAAGGUUUAGCCAAUCCCAUAAAUCUG
rnacentral:rRNA from 1 species